GGGGUGCGAGUUGUAAUUUCAGAGGAUGCAUCGGGUGCGGUGCCCGACUAAGUGGGCUGGUACCGGCCGUCUUAGAGGGUGAGUAUCCCGUCUGGGAUGGGCGCCCGCGCCCGUGUGAAGCUCCUUCGACGAGUCGAGUUGUUUGGGAAUGCAGUCUAAGCGGGUGGUAAUUUUCAUCUUAAGCUAAAUACUGGCCGGAGUCCGAUAGGGGACAAGUAGAGUGACGAAAGAUGAUUAGCACUUUGAAAAGAGAGUUAAACAGCACGUGAAAUUGUUGAAAGGGAAGCGUUGUCCACCAGACUCGCCCGGGGGGGUUCACCCGGCACGUUUGCCGGUGUACUCCUCUCCGGGCGGGGGAGCAUCGGUUUGGGCGGCUGGUGUAAGGCCCCCCGAAUGUAACACCCUCCCGGGUGCCUUAUAGCCCGGGGUGGCAUACAGCCAGGCUGGAGGGAGGCCCGCGCCUCCGCGAGGAUGCUGGCGUUAUGGUGGUCAACGG
rnacentral:rRNA from 1 species